rnacentral:rRNA from 1 species
UACGUAGGGUGCAAGCGUUAAUCGGAAUUACUGGGCGUAAAGGGCUCGUAGGCGGCCAACUAAGUCAGACGUGAAAUCCCUCGGCUUAACCGGGGAACUGCGUCUGAUACUGGAUGGCUUGAAUCCGGGAGAGGGAUGCGGAAUUCCAGGUGUAGCGGUGAAAUGCGUAGAUAUCUGGAGGAACACCGGUGGCGAAGGCGACAUCCUGGACCGGUAUUGACGCUGAGUGAGCGAAAGCCAGGGGAGCAAACGGG